UUGAAUAAAUCUGAUGUAGUUGAGCUGGCUCCCCGGAGUAUGUGCUCGCUCGUCACCUUUAUCUUUCCACCUGUGCACACACUGUAGUCCUGGAUACCUCUCGCCGCAAGGCGGAUGCAGAGAUUGCCGCAAGGCUCUCUCUGAAUUUCCAGGUCUAUGAUUUUACACACCCCAACUGAAUGUUUUAGAAUGUCAUCAUAAGGCUUCGUGCCUAUAAACCUAUA
rnacentral:misc_RNA from 1 species